AAACAUGUUGUACUGUGGAUUCAUUUAUUUUCGUGGAUAUCAAUUUUCGUGGAUAGAGAAAAAAAGACGUUUCGUGGUAUACGUAAAUUCGUGGAUCGCUGAUUACAACAACAAAAAAUUAGAUACGUAAUUCGUGGAUUUCUUUUUGAUUUAGGAGAUCAUAUAACCUCCUUGGUUUGAUCAAUAAUAAAACAAAACAAAAAAGAAGGAAUUCAUUGAAAAAGCUCGCUUGGUCAUUCUAGGUUAAAGUGUUCAUUGAUAACUUCGAUUACAAUAAUGAACAGAAACAACUAAUUAUUUGUUUGUUUUACAAUUUAUAAAUUCUUGUCUGAAUUCUAUAAGGCAUUCAAAACUUUAUGAUUGAAAGCUCAUUUCCCUAAUCACGAU
rnacentral:lncRNA from 1 species